GGGAAUCCUGUGGAUGGCUAGUACAUCUGAAGGGUCGAUUGCCACGCCCACCGUUUCUUUCAAUAUGGCGCGUAACUCUUCACGAAGAUUUCCCUGCGCCUUUUCCUUCCACCCUAGAAAUUGGAUGUUGUUUUUCUGGGAAUAUUGCUGAUAAGGGUUCGCCAAGGUUAAUGCAGAUUCUGUCAGUGUUUGAUAUCGUUUCAUUGUGUUUUGCAAUGAUCUUAAUUCUUCCAUGUGCUCUUGGAAUUUUUCUCUAAUGUUCACACUAAAUCUGUUAUCUCUGUAGUUUCAAACACAAACUCUUUAACUUUUAGGUCAAUUUUGUUUUCUAAUUCAUCUUUAACCUGGGCUUUGACACUAUCUACGAUUUCUUUUUUCAAUGCCUCUUUAACGUCUUUAAUAAUUUCUUUCUUUAUGUAAUAGUGUUUAUUAAUUGAUUUAAAUUAAUAAAUCUACACAAAUUUGUAUAUAGAUUUCAAAUUAAACAUUAUAUGAAUAACCACUACAUUGAGAUGUGUUUUAUGCUCAUCCAAGUAGAACAGGCAGUACCUGUUCUGAUUUAUUGAAUUUUGCCUUAGGUCAUUAUAAUCAAACUUUUGUAAAUAGGUUUGAAAGUGUUCGAAGUUCCUAUUGGUUUUAGUGUUGUUAGCUGGUGUUUUAUUGGUCAGUUCUUUUUCCCUCCAAAAGUUCUUGGUGGUGUUCAGUCAUUCUUUGUCUAGUUGGUUUAUAGAGAAGUUGGUGAAAAUAUAUGACAGAUAUUUGACUGUUGACUGAUCAUUUCUUUAACAAGUCAAUCUCCAUGGACAUUUUUGUUAAAUGAGGGAUUAUUGCCACAUCACUUAUUCCCAUAGAAUGAGUGUCAUACACAUACAUAUACAUGUAUAUCUAAAGCUUAGAUUCUGGCAAUAAAAUGGAGGUGAUCGACAUCUAAGAACCCAUA